CCUACGGGUGGCUGCAGUAAGGAAUAUUGGUCAAUGGACGAAAGUCUGAACCAGCCAUCCCGCGUGCAGGAUGAAAGCCCUAUGGGUUGUAAACUGCUUUUAGCAGAGAAGAAAAGCUUUCAUUAAUGAGAGUCUGACGGUAUCUGCAGAAUAAGCACCGGCUAACUCCGUGCCAGCAGCCGCGGUAAUACGGAGGGUGCGAGCGUUAUCCGGAAUUACUGGGGUGAAAGGGUGCGAUGGCGGAAGUGGUGAAAUGUUGUCGCUUAACGAUAAAAUUGCCAAGGAUACGGGUACUCUUGAAGUGGGUUGAGGUUAGCGGAAUGUGACAUGUAGCGGUGAAAUGCAUAGGUAUGUCAUGGAACACCAAUUGCGAAGGCAGCUAACUGGGCCUUGAUUGACGCUGAGGCACGAAAGCGUGGGUAGCGAACAGGAUUAGAUACCCCAGUAGUC
rnacentral:rRNA from 1 species